GACGAACGCUGGCGGCGUGCCUAAUACAUGCAAGUCGAGCGGAAGUUGAGGAGCUUGCUCUUCAACUUUAGCGGCGGACGGGUGAGUAACACGUGGGCAACCUGCCCUGCAGAUCGGGAUAACUCCGGGAAACCGGUGCUAAUACCGAAUAGUUUUGGGUCCCUCCUGGGACCUAACGGAAAGACGGUUUCGGCUGUCACUGCAGGAUGGGCCCGCGGCGCAUUAGCUAGUUGGUGGGGUAACGGCCCACCAAGGCGACGAUGCGUAGCCGACCUGAGAGGGUGAUCGGCCACACUGGGAUGGAGACACGGCCCAGACUCCUACGGGAGGCAGCAGUAGGGAAUCUUCCGCAAUGGACGCAAGUCUGACGGAGCAACGCCGCGUGAGUGAUGAAGGUUUUCGGAUCGUAAAACUCUGUUGCGAGGGAAGAAACCGUGCCAAUUAACUACUGGCACCUUGACGGUACCUCGCCAGAAAGCCACGGCUAACUACGUGCCAGCAGCCGCCGUAA
rnacentral:rRNA from 1 species